CCUGAGAAACCCAAAAGAUCGAAUGGGGAGAUUCAUCGUCAGCGCAUUUGGUAUAUAUACAAGUUACGAUGUGGGUUACUCUUGAGUAUUGCCUGCACGUUCUUAUAUAUUUAAUUGCUAGAUGUUGUCGGCGUGCACUUCUCCCCUAGUAGGACGUCGUGACCCGUUGGGUGUCGGUCUACGGCCCGAGUGGGAGCCUUUAAUGCUUUAAAAACAUUAAAGACCCUCGGUGUUUCCUGACCGGCUGCCCGGCGGUAUUCGUAUGGUAUUAAGCCGCAAUUUAUUUGCGUCCACACCCGUCGCAAGCGCGGCCAGUUUUUGAUAGUACGGACCUAGUGCCGUCGUUGGGCCUGGCCAGCUGUUAGCUGUUGCGGUGUUCUGGGACUGGCUAAAAAUAAUUACCGGUCGGCGACGCUACUGCUUUGGGUACUUUCAGGACCCGUCUUGAAACACGGACCAAGGAGUCUAACAUGUGCGCGAGUCAUUGGGAUUUUUUUUAAAUUAAACCUAAAGGCGCAAUGAAAGUAAAGGUCGUCCUUGUGAUGAUUGAGGGAGGAUGGGCUGUGUUAAGAUACAGCUCCGCACUCCCGGGGCGUCUCAUUSUCAUUAUGAGNNNNNGCGCACCUAG
rnacentral:rRNA from 1 species